GGUCCCGUGGUGUAGCGGUUAACAUGCCUGCCUGUCACGCAGGAGAUCGCGGGUUCGAAUCCCGUCGGGACCG
rnacentral:tRNA from 1 species